rnacentral:tmRNA from 1 species
GGGGUCGACUGGUUUUGACAGCACAAGACGGGGAAAGCGUAAGCAUGUCGUGCGUUGUAUUAUUAGCACGUUAAUCUGAAGAUUCAACAUUUUAUUUGGCAAUACUCAGUAUGCCAUGGCUGCCUAAUCAGUGAUUAGUUAGUCAUUAGGGCCGCUUGAGCAGGUGAUUUCGCUACCAAGCUCCGCCGCCGACUCAACAAAAAAUGCGAAAUGCUGUAGUGCCAGGCUGUGCACACUGCAAAAGACUAUCCAGCUAAGCUUAUAAUCGGUUUGUUCAUUUCCUGUUAUUUGCCGACAAUUAAAACUGAACUAAACAUGUAGAAAACUUUUUCAAUCGGUGUUUGGACGCGGGUUCGAAUCCCGCCGAUUCCACAA